GUUCUCCUUGGGCAGGUGCUGACUUGCCCAUUGUGCUGUUUCUCCGCUCGAGUGCAAAGUGCCACAGGAGCAGCUGCCUCGCAGGAGAAGCGUUUGCUCUGCAGGACAGAGUGGUCCAGUGGACAGAGACCAGGCCUGUGAUCCAAGAGAAUGGGUUCUGUUCCCGAUCCUGCUUCUGACUCUGGGGGUGAUUGCAGGCUGGGUAAAUGAAGAGCAGGGUUUUUUGACAGAAGUUGGGUGCCCUUCCCCACUGAGAAAAGCUCUCAGAAGAACACAUGAGCAGCCCCACCCUCUGGCAGGCGAGAAUGUGGUGGCAGAGUCAUAGAAAAUCCUUAAACUUCAGUAAACAAGCUGCAGAAGAUUCAAGAUAAGGAAUCAAAACAUCCAGAAGAAAUGAGAAAUACACCCAAUAAAGGCAAGAGAAAUACACCCUGCCCCCACGUGUGCAGACAAACAUAUUCUGUCAGUCUUGUCUCAUUCCUCAGGGCUUGAUUAAAUAUUAAGGACUUGAUUCUGCAAACCCUACUUUAGGAUACACUGAGGUAAGCACA